ACUCUCGAAAGAGUCUUUUUAAUUCGCCUUUCUCGAACACAUCAAAGGAUUCUGAAUCAGACCAAUGGGUUAAAAAAUGUAACAGUUUCCAAGUUGACAUGCAGGUGGACACAAUACUCUCAUCAUCUCAACAAGAAGCUCAUCAGCAAAGAUUAGAAAAACUUCGGCAGGAACUUGAUUACAUUAAAACCGAUGCCUGGAAGUACAAACCCAUUGAGGACCUGAUUGGAUUCUAGCACAGUUGUGCAUUUAUAUAUAUAAUAUGAAUUUAUGUGAAUAGCAAUAUUUAAUACUACAGAGCUAUUAAAAAAAAGCUGAUGCCUUUCAAAUUCAAAUUAGGCACAUAAUUAAGCGGAAGUUGCCUAAAUAACCCAUGGGUAUACCGAGUAUACGAAGCAUGUCAAAUAAGUGAACAUUAAUUAAUCCAAAACGUAAAUUGUGCUCUCUUUGGAAAUUAUUUUUAACAACUCUUUGUGCUGAAAGAAACGGUGGUCACGUUGAAGGACAUGGGGUAUAGCUUGUGAACAUUUUUUAUUAUAAUCUCUGUAAAUAAUAAUAAACCAUUUAUCAGAUUGUUUUUAUAGCACACGUGUCAUGUUGAAGGUUAUCACUUGGAAUUGUCACAAUAGGCCUGUCAUAAGUUCGCGGCUCAUUUGAAUAUAAAAGGCAUCACUUUUUUUACUCCCCUGAGGGUGCGCCAUUUACUGUUCUUGAUAAUUUAAAACACUCUGCGAGAAGUGUGUGUAAUGGAAAGCACACAUUUUUUUGGAACAGUUUCAGUCUAUUACAUAUGUGUUCUACUAUGCGUUUUAUAAUUGUUCGCAAAAAAAUAAACAGUAUAGUGAUUUCAUGUAUUUUCAUGUCUAUUUAAGACAUUUUUAGACACUUGUACAAAUCGAAUCUCACACAACUAUAGCCAUCACAUUCCUGACAAUAGAUGUAUGUCCAUGGAUGAAGAUAAAGUCUUAAAAUAAGGCCAACACAACAUUACGAUUAAACACAUUUGUUACCGUCACUUUUAAACACGUAAAAAUUGUACGUGUCACUGUCACGUGUUGUGUUCUAGCUACCCCUAAAGUAGGGGUAAUCAGAACAGUUCCGAACUUUCAUGUGACAGUGUUCUGUUCCACUCCAUUACUGCUCCUGAAAUCUGGAGUACUCCGAACAGUAAAUGGAGCAGCCUGCUGUAUAAUAAUAUGCAAAUAAGACAUACAAUGUAUCACUAUUUUUUGUGAUACAAGUCACACAAAGUCUUCUGUUUUAUUAUCAUGACCUGGAAAAGAUGGAUUUUUACAUACUUAUCUGGAUCGUUCUAUAUUCUUUAGAGUAUGGUGUGCAUUCAUGUAUUAUUUAAUUUCAUUCCGCCAA